UACGGGCGGCUGCAGUGGGGAAUCUUGCGCAAUGGGCGAAAGCCUGACGCAGCGACGCCGCGUGGGGGAUGAAGCUUUUCGGAGUGUAAACCCCUUUCGACUGGGACGAAUGCCCGCAAGGGAGUGACGGUACCAGUAGAAGAAGCCCCGGCUAACUACGUGCCAGCAGCCGCGGUAAGACGUAGGGGGCCAGCGUUGUUCGGAAUUACUGGGUGUAAAGGGUUCGUAGGCGGUGUGGCAAGUUGGGAGUGAAAUCUCUGGGCUUAACUCAGAGGCUGCUUCCAAAACUGCUGUGCUUGAGUGUGGGAGAGGCGCGUGGAAUUGCAGGUGUAGCGGUGAAAUGCGUAGAUAUCUGCAGGAACACCCGUGGCGAAAGCGGCGCGCUGGACCAUAACUGACGCUGAGGAACGAAAGCUAGGGGAGCAAACAGGAUUAGAUACCCCAGUAGUCAUCUUUCUAGA
rnacentral:rRNA from 1 species